CUACGGGCUGCUCCAGUGGGGAAUAUUGCACAAUGGAGGAAACUCUGAUGCAGCAACGCCGCGUGGAGGAUGACACUUUUCGGAGCGUAAACUCCUUUUAUAUAGGAAGAAGAUGACGGUACUAUAUGAAUAAGCGCCGGCUAACUCCGUGCCAGCAGCCGCGGUAAUACGGAGGGCGCAAGCGUUACUCGGAAUCACUGGGCGUAAAGAGCGUGUAGGCGGAUUAAAAAGUCAGAAGUGAAAUCCUAUAGCUUAACUAUAGAACUGCUUCUGAAACUCUUAAUCUAGAAUAUGGGAGAGGUAGAUGGAAUUUCUGGUGUAGGGGUAAAAUCCGUAAAGAUCAGAAGGAAUACCGAUUGCGAAGGCGAUCUACUAGAACAUUAUUGACGCUGAGACGCGAAAGCGUGGGGAGCAAACAGGAUUAGAUACCCGAGUAGUC
rnacentral:rRNA from 1 species